UACAGAGGGUGCAAGCGUUAAUCGGAAUUACUGGGCGUAAAGCGCACGUAGGCGGCUUGGUAUGUCGGGUGUGAAAUCCCCGGGCUCAACCUGGGAACUGCAUCCGAAACUGCCUUGCUGGAGUAUGGGAGAGGGAAGCGGAAUUUCCGGUGUAGCGGUGAAAUGCGUAGAGAUCGGAAGGAACAUCAGUGGCGAAGGCGGCUUCCUGGACCAAUACUGACGAUCAGGUGCGAAAGAGUGGGGAGCAAACAGG
rnacentral:rRNA from 1 species